rnacentral:antisense_RNA from 1 species
UUUCAGCGAGCCCAGCCACAGCGGCCGCUGCGGGUCGCGGCCGCGGCCGUAGACCGCGAUGAGGGCCUGCGCCUC